AUUGAACGCUGGCGGCAGGCCUAACACAUGCAAGUCGAACGGUAACAGGAAGCAGCUUGCUGCUUUGCUGACGAGUGGCGGACGGGUGAGUAAUGUCUGGGAAACUGCCUGAUGGAGGGGGAUAACUACUGGAAACGGUAGCUUAUACCGCAUAACGUCGCAAGACCAAAGAGGGGGACCUUAGGGCCUCUUGCCAUCGGAUGUGCCCAGAUGGGAUUAGCUAGUAGGUGGGGUAACGGCUCACCUAGGCGACGAUCCCUAGCUGGUCUGAGAGGAUGACCAGCCACACUGGAACUGAGACACGGUCCAGACUCCUACGGGAGGCAGCAGUGGGGAAUAUUGCACAAUGGGCGCAAGCCUGAUGCAGCCAUGCCGCGUGUAUGAAGAAGGCCUUCGGGUUGUAAAGUACUUUCAGCGGGGAGGAAGGGAGUAAAGUUAAUACCUUUGCUCAUUGACGUUACCCGCAGAAGAAGCACCGGCUAACUCCGUG
rnacentral:rRNA from 1 species